AUGAACACUAAAUGUUAGGAGUUCCGUGGGAGUUUUAUGGAAGCAUGUUUGGAUCUAUCUGUCUGUAAAAUUGCUUUUACAGUGCAAGUCAAGGUCAUAACAUUUCCCAUUCUCCAUGAUGUGCUUAUUUCACAUUGCAUGCCUAUAUCAAAACAUCUAAUUUACUGUAUAAAUAUAUACACCUACUAUGUACCCAGAAAAAUUUAAAAAAAUUUUUUUUAAUUAAAAGAAAAAGAUAACAUUUCCCAUUAAAAGGUUCAUUCACUCUCCCCUAAACCCUCUCUUGCAGGCAGCAGACACGUCCCAGUCUGGAACCCUGGAAGGAGAAGAAUUCGUACAGUUCUAUAAGGCAUUGACUAAACGUGCUGAGGUGCAGGAACUGUUUGAAAGUUUUUCAGCUGAUGGGCAGAAGCUGACUCUGCUGGAAUUUUUGGAUUUCCUCCGAGAGAAGCAGAAGGAGAGAGACUGCACCUCUGAGCUUGCUCUGGAACUCAUUGACCGCUAUGAACCUUCAGACAGUGGCAAACUGCGGCAUGUGCUGAGCAUGGAUGGCUUCCUCAGCUACCUCUGCUCUAAGGAUGGAGACAUCUUCAACCCAGCCUGCCUCCCCAUCUAUCAGGAUAUGACUCAACCCCUGAACCACUACUUCAUCUGCUCUUCUCAUAACACCUACCUAGUGGGGGACCAGCUUUGUGGCCAGAGCAGCGUCGAGGGAUAUAUACGGUGCAGUGGUGGUAGAGAAGGGGUCCAACUCAUGAGAGGGACCAUGUAGAAAAGUGAGGGGAGCUGUCAGUGUCUAACAGAUUGGGACAGUGUUGUGGGGGUUUAGGGGCUGAGGAGCCCUGGAUACCAGAGACACUUGGAGGAGAUAUUGAAGACUGGUGGGAGAAUGGUAAUGAAACCCUAUGGGUAAAUGGAACUUCUCUUUCACAAGCUAUGAAACUCUCCUGGAACUCAGAGGCCCUGACAGAUUUAUAUUUAACAAAUUAAUAAACAGAUUGUUAAAUGGAAGGCAAUAGAGAAUAGGAGUUAAAAAUAUAGGUUCUGGAGUCAGCCCAUCUGAAAUUAUAUCCUAGCUCCUUCACUUGGUACUCUGGGGCUAAGUAUUUAACUUCUAUACCUCAGUCUCCCCAUCUGUGAAACAGGGAUGGUAACAGUGCCUAUUCUGUCUGGGUUGUUGUGAAGAGAUAAUCCAUAUGUCAAUAGCUAAUAAGCAGUUCUGAUUUUAUUGUGACUAAUCAUGGAUUAGAUUGAAUAGUCAAGAUAUCUUUCUAUUACCAGCAACUGAACUAGUAGCUUCAAGGGAUACAAAGAUGAGUGGAACAUAUAGUUUCCACCUUAGGAAGUCUAGCUGAGGAAUUAAGGUGUAAAUUUACUGACAGUUUGAAUAACCAGGAUGUUGUAUAGGGAUAUAAAGCCAGAACACCACUGGACACAAUGGCUUAUGCCUGUAAUUCCAGCACUUUGGGAGGCCGAGGCAGGGAGAUCGCUUGAGCCCAAGAGUUCGAGACCAGGCUGGGCAACAUAGUGAGAGCCCGUCUCUACAAAAAAUGCAAAAAUUAGCCAGGCAUGGUGAUGUGUGCUUUUAGUACCAGCUACUCGGGAGGCUGAGGUGGGAAGAUCGUUUAAGCCUGAGAGGUCAAGGCUGCAGUGAGCCAUGUUCACACCACUGCACUCUAGCCUGGGUGACAGAUUUAGACCCUGUCUCAAAAAAAUAAAAGUAAAUAUAAAUAAAUAAGUAAAACCAGAACACCAGACCCAUCAUGAGGCAAUGUGUGAUGGAUUGCUAUGGAAGGACUGUGAGUCAGGUGGGCUGAAGUAUGGGUAGAGAUCAGCGUGAGCUUGCAGCAGUGUCCCCAUGGAUGGAGAAGGCUCUAUGCAGAUGUAGCUUGAAGGGGUCCGGAUGGGUAAGUGCUGGUGAGCGCUGUUCUCUCCAGAGUGGGGAGAGUCCCUAGGUAGAAGAUCAGAUAUUGACCUCUCCUAUUUCUCGGUGGGGAUGGGGUUCUUUCAGGGCCCUGAAGCGGGGGUGCCGCUGCGUGGAGGUGGAUGUAUGGGAUGGACCUAGUGGGGAACCUGUCGUUUACCACGGACACACCCUGACCUCCCGCAUCCUGUUCAAAGAUGUCGUGGCCACAGUAGCACAGUAUGCCUUCCAGACGUCAGACUACCCAGUCAUCUUGUCCCUGGAGACCCACUGCAGCUGGGAGCAGCAGCAGACCAUGGCCCGUCAUCUGACUGAGAUCCUGGGGGAGCAGCUGCUGAGCACCACCUUGGAUGGGGUGCUGCCCACUCAGCUGCCCUCACCUGAGGAGCUUCGGAGGAAGAUCCUGGUGAAGGGGAAGAAGUUAACACUUGAGGAAGACCUGGAAUAUGAGGAAGAGGAAGCAGAGCCUGAGUUGGAGGAGUCAGAAUUGGCGCUGGAGUCCCAGUUUGAGACUGAGCCUGAGCCCCAGGAGCAGAACCUUCAGAAUAAGGACAAAAAGAAGAAAUCCAAGCCCAUCUUGUGUCCAGCCCUCUCUUCCCUGGUUAUCUACUUGAAGUCUGUCUCAUUCCGCAGCUUCACACAUUCAAAGGAGCACUACCACUUCUACGAGAUAUCAUCUUUCUCUGAAACCAAGGCCAAGCGCCUCAUCAAGGAGGCUGGUCAGGACCAAAAUGGAGGGAUGGGGAGGGAAGUGGGAUGGAUAGGUUCAGGCCUGAUGGACUGGCAGGUAAGUCCCAAGAAAAAAGACAAGGUAGCUAAGGAGAGAUGAAGGAGUUCAGAAACUCCUCAGAGCAGGCAAGGGCAGAGGAGUUAUGAAUAGUGGCUCAAGGGUCUAGGGGCACGAAAGCUGGUCUGGAUGGACAGAGUAGAGAGGCACAGUGAAACUUUCUGGAGCCAGCUUCAGAUGCUGGAGAGAAGGGUGAAGAGUAGGCAGGGUCCUUGGGACUAGGGAAGUGGGAGAUGCCACCCCACUUCCAUCUCCCUCUCUAUACCCUUUUACAGGCAAUGAGUUUGUGCAGCACAAUACUUGGCAGUUAAGCCGUGUGUAUCCCAGCGGCCUGAGGACAGACUCUUCCAACUACAACCCCCAGGAACUCUGGAAUGCAGGCUGCCAGAUGGUGGCCAUGAAUAUGCAGACUGCAGGGCUUGAAAUGGACAUCUGUGAUGGGCAUUUCCGCCAGAAUGGCGGCUGUGGCUAUGUGCUGAAGCCAGACUUCCUGCGUGAUAUCCAGAGUUCUUUCCACCCUGAGAAGCCCAUCAGCCCUUUCAAAGCCCAGACUCUCUUAAUCCAGGUGAUCAGCGGUCAGCAACUCCCCAAAGUGGACAAGACCAAAGAGGGGUCCAUUGUGGAUCCACUGGUGAAAGUGCAGAUCUUUGGUGUCCGUCUAGACACAGCACGGCAGGAGACCAACUAUGUGGAGAACAAUGGUUUUAAUCCAUACUGGGGGCAGACACUAUGUUUCCGGGUGCUGGUGCCUGAACUUGCCAUGCUGCGUUUUGUGGUAAUGGAUUAUGACUGGAAAUCCCGAAAUGACUUUAUUGGUCAGUACACCCUGCCUUGGACCUGCAUGCAACAAGGUGAGCCAGCCCCUUUGACCCCUGGCCAAUACCCCAGCUCUGGCUGCCUUCCUAAUGCUGUCCUCCUGCCCCUUCCAGGUUACCGCCACAUUCACCUGCUGUCCAAAGAUGGCAUCAGCCUCCGCCCAGCUUCCAUCUUUGUGUAUAUCUGCAUCCAGGAAGGCCUGGAGGGGGAUGAGUCCUGAGGUGGGCAUUUCACGGGAAGGGUUGGUGUGCUGGCUUUAGAUGGUGAGAAACAUCUGGAAGGAUGCUCUAGAGAACAAAUGGAGGUGGUGAAAAUCAAGCUUUGGAUUGUGCAUUCCUAGGCACAAAAUUACCUCAUUCUUCCUAACAAGCAAUCUGGGACCUGAUUUUCCACCUUUUUUCUCUUUUCUUCCCUUCCUUUGUUUUCAUAAGCCUUUGGUAUCUUUCCUGCCCCUUUCCUUUGUGUACUCUAUACUGGAGUUCCCUUCUUCCUCUUGCUGUAGGCUCAAUCCCAUACCGACAUCUACAACUAAUCUUUCCCAUCAAUUCUGUGUGAAGGCAGGUUGCAACUAGAAAUUCAGAGGGGCUUGGAACAGAGAACCUAAAGAAGCAUCAUCCCCUCCAUCCCCAACUUCCUCAAAGCCCAAAGCCAAGGGAAGGAUAAAUCAAGGCUCAAGCCUUCCCCAGCAAAGAUUAGGGAAAGAGACUUGACCCCAGGACUGUACUACGACUCUUAAGAGAACACUGCACAGCACUCAAAGUCCCCCACUGGACUGCUUCCUCCUUAGCCCCACUGGUAUAAAUAUAUCUAUCUGUCUCCAAUUUGGCUUC
rnacentral:sRNA from 1 species